AGGCUUUACCUUCUUAUCUGCCAUUUUAUAUCUCGUCUCUACUGUGACUUCUGGUGCUUGAAAAGAUUCAAGCAUGGUAUAAACCUCUCUCGAAUGAAUCUCAACAAUCUUAUCAUUAUCCCCUAACCCAAUAGAUGUAAUCAAUUCCAAUGAAUCUUCCAGCCCAUUUUCUUCAUAAACACCCAAAAUCCUCUCAUCAUCUUGCAAUGUACCUAUCUUGCGUAAUUGUCCUUCAAUAUCAUAUAAUCUUUUUCUUUCUUUUCUUUUAAAAUCAUCAACUUUCUUAUACAUAAUAUUUCCAUUCUCCAAUAUACCAAUAAAACUCGCAUCAAAGGCACCUUCAUCUCGCGAGAGUACCUCCUCUUUUGUACCUCCAUAAUCUCGCUUUACAGUGGUACCUCCCCAAAAUCCUUAAAUCCUUCAACAAUCUUUGGCAAUGGUUUCUCCUUCAACCUAUCUCGAUUCCGUUCAUGGUUAGGAGGUACUGUUAGAAAUUGUACAGCUUUCCUCACAUCUUCGCUCCGUACCCUUGCAUAAGCAGAACCAUCGUCAAGUACCUUUGUUUCCAUCCGUGUUGCCAUGAUAUAAGGUUGUCCUAAAAUCAACGGAUAAGACGUUGUAUCUUGAACAAAGAAAUGUUGCUCCGUCGCAACAUCCCCAAUCCGAAUUUUGACAUCUGGACAAGCUCCAUAUAAUUCACCUCGUGUGUUAUUAGUUGCUCGUAUAGCCCAUCCAUGUUCCAUGUCAAUUGGCCAUUUUUGCUUCUUAUAAAGAUCUUUAGACAUGAGAUUUAUUUCAGAACCAUGGUCCACCAAAGCAACUAUUGGUUCUUCUAUAUCUCCUACCUUCACCAAUACCUCAGUAGUUGUCCUUGCCCAAUGCUUUCGAGUAUAAUGGCUCAAAGUUUCCAUUUCCUUGUCACUAGAAUCUUCGAAACGUACUCGCUGAUUAUACCCAUUCUUUUCAUUUGUUAGUUGCUUGUAACCAAUAUCAACCUCUUCUUCAUCUCUACAUAUUCUUGCAUCAAUAGCAUGACUCAUUCCAGUUUCGCUCAUUAAUUGCCUCUUUCGCUUAAUGCUGUCAAUGAUAACAUCAUGAAACUCCUUCUUUGCAAUUCUCAAGACUUCUUUCAAUGUGAAUUCCACCUUAGCGUUUAAUAUACGUUCUUCCAACACCCCUUUCAAAUUUGUUGCCGCUUCAAUGUCAGAAAGUAGCUUAUAAGCAAUUGAUUUGCCCUUAUCUUUUGUCUCCGUUGUUUUUUCUCCCAAUGAUGCUAAGGUAUCCUUUACAGGCAAUUCUUGUGAAGCUGCCUCCCGAGCCUUGUCUCCUCGAGUUUGCCUCUUAAAAGAAUUUCCUUCUCUAGUAUCAUCAAAAUUUCCUCGUCUUUUUUCUUCCAUCAAAGCUUCAUGUUGGCUCUUAGCAAUAUAUGCAUGAACUGAAAGAGACUCAACAGGAUCCUCUCAACCUGUUCUUCCUCGUAUUGUAGCUGCAGUUCUCAAUAACGCUUCUCGAGGUAAUUUCCCUUCUUGCAUUGUAGAAACGGCAGAAGCCCAAAACUCACUAGUUUCCGUACUUCCACCAAUUUCAUCAUCUACUCUAGCACCAUAACUUGCACUUUCUCGUACUAUUGUUUCAUGCUCUUUUAAGUAAUCUUGAACCAAUGCUCUCAUUCCUCCCUUGCCAAAAUUGGUUUGAAGAAGAUCCUCCCUAUCUUUCAAUGCUAUCUUCCCAUCUUUCCAGCAAAUAAUUCCCUGCCGUAUCAUAUUAUUAAAUUCAUUGCAAUCUUUUCUAGUGUGUGAAGCAUCAUCACACCAAAUGCAUCUUUGUACAUAUCCUUGUUUUGAAACAUUCUUCGAAUUGUUUAUAGAAGUAUUCUCUUCAAGUCUUGCCAAUUUGAUUUAAAGAUCUUGCAUUCCUCGUAUAAUUUCUUCCAUACCCAUAUCUGCUUUCUUUGACAAGGAUGUCGAAGGUUGAACUGUAGGCAUUGUCGGUGGUGUUGUACGUACUGGAGCUUUGGGUGCUUGUACUGUUUUCGGAAUAUUACUCCUAUCCUUCCUCCUUUCUUUUUUUGUAAGCAACUCCACCGCAUCUUCAACGUUCUUCCACUUCGUUGUCAAUCCUUCAUCUUCUUCUUUGUCUUCAAGAAGGGGUUCUAAUUUCUCUUGCAAUUCUCCAUCAGCAGCUUGAAGAAAUAGAUCAACUUUGUUCGGCUCCAAUGUCAAUUUUUCUACCUUCGAUAAUUGAGAGUACUGCCUCUCAAAUUCCCUUAGUAGCUCUGUUGCUUGCAAAUUCUUAUUGGGCCGUUCAAUCCAUCCCAGAAACAGCUUCUUAGUAACGCGAUCAGCAUCUUCCAAGAAAUAUUCGUCUUUCAACGUAUGUGAAAAAUCCUCCCAUGAAUUCCCACAACGAUCCGUAAUCGAUGUAAUGCGGUCCCUUAUCUCCGGUAUCGUGGCAAGUCCAAAUAGUGCAACCAUUUUCUUCUCAGAAACCCGAUUUAAUUCCAUUUCACGAACAUAACAUCUUAAAUACCUUGAAAUAUUCCUCCCAUCAAAUUGAUCAAUUUUAUUGACCACUGCUUGCAAUGCUUUGGUUGCCAAAGCUUCCUUUCGAUCAUUGCUUUGCUGUUGCUGCAUUGACAAUGAGAAGGCUUGAAACAAACUAGCAAUAGAUGGAUCCAUGUGCAUACCUUGUCCUUUAGAAGACUCCUCACAAGAAACUUCUCCCAAAAAUCCUUCAAAAUUUUUAUUUUCGUUUUCCAUAAAAAUAAAGAUAAAAUCAACCAAAAUCCAAUACCUUCUACCUCAAGCUUUCACGUCGGGUUCACCACUUAUGUCGUAUUAUGUGCUUUCCUGCUCGAGAACGCGUCGGGCGUCUGGCUGUAGAAGGUAGUAUGGAGAUCCGCCGAUAGUCAAGCAAUCUAUCAGUUUUUACUGCUGGAAUAUAAACGACUGCAAGAAUACACCGUAAAUCUUUACUGAUGCCCUUCGACUGCUUGUCGAAGUCCUUUUUUUUUUGCCCCAACCGGUAGGUCUCUAGACGUUACAGAGAACCCCGAACAACCCAAACUGUUAAUCUUCAAUACCCCUUUGUACUUACGAUCUUGUAUCCACUGACUGUCCUGUUAGAUUAACCCAAUAAAUUUCAUUCACUCCGCAUACUCAAUCCUAUAGACAUCCCUUUAAUCUUUCAAUCACAGACGUAACUCGAUUUUACAAAACAGUCAAGAGUAUUCAAACCCACUUCAUUUAAAAAUCCCGAUUCACCAUUACAACACUGAUUUCAGCAGCGAUUGCCUCAGUCUUCCUCAACACUCUACGAAGAAGAAAAAUCCAAAUUCUAUGUCUUUCCUUCCCCGACCCGAAGCAUGAAGCUCUUCUCUCUAAUUCCCUUGAUCUUCCAAAAACCUCCAAUGAAAAAACGAACUAGUAACCUUGCAAAUGCUUGAAAACUCGCUCCCUCCCCGAUUCCCCCGAAAAAAAAACCUCCCCCCAAAACUAUAUCCUCCCUAACCUUAUUCUUUGAAUUUCUUCAAUCUUCCAUCUUAGAUCCGGAAUUGGCCCCCACCUCAAGCUUGGAUCCGAAAUUGGCUCUCGCUGCCAAGCUUUCUCCUACGUUUUUACCUUUAAGAAAUCCAUUUACCGAAAACAACGUUCCCUGAGACGGCACAGAGAACAGGACAGCCUGAAACAGAAUCGAACCCCGUAAUCGGGACCACAUUGAGUCGCCCGACCAAUUCAGGUCCUCUAUUGAGAAAGAUGCCCGUAGUAACCUGGAUGUUCCCGUAAUUGGGUCAAAUUGGUCCUCGCGUCAGAUUGGCUAAGACCCGUAGUAAGACUUGGAUUUCCCGUAAUUAGACUGCAUUGGGUUGCCCCACCAAUACAGGUCUCAUAUUGGGUAAGAGGACCCGGAUUGGAUUAUCGAAAUUGGAUCCAAUUGGCUCCUCGAACCCGUCGUGUGAAUUGGUCCUUCUCUUCCUGCUGACUCCUGUUAUUGGAAUGGAACGGAGCAUUUCAGUAUGCCCCGGCUGACUGUAACGGAGUGACUGAACCUGACCACUCAGUAUUUGUACUGGAGUUGGUUGAUGCUCCCAAUAUUCGAGGUAACUGAAUAUUAAUAAAAUUCCCCUUUCUUUUUAUUUUCACUGUAUACUCGUGUUACAACACGACAACGUGAGAGCCAGCUGAAAAUCUCACCAAUAAACCAGAAAAGGUACAAGAGUUUCAUCAACAACAUCCUCAUAAACCUAAGCUGGUUCGAGGAUAGCUUCUUUUUGAAGCUUGCUCAUCCAAGAAUAUAAAAAAAGGGGAGAGCACCACCAAAAUUCAUAGUUGAUGUAGUUAUUUUUUCCAAGAUAAAAUAGAAUUUUUUUAGUAGCCAUAGUUUGGUCUUCUGAUAUGGAUAGCCAAGAGAUAGAUACUAUGCCAGUCAGAUUAUCUCAACUGACUAGCUCACGAAGGCGACCCCGAGAUGAAGAACCACCUGUACCAUGACGACGACGGAGGAUACCAAGUAACCAAUCACUGGUGAUUGUAUUUGAGUUCGAGCCUACUUACGAUGGUCAGCCAGAAGGCAUAUUUGCAGGACAAUUUCAGAAUGAAGAUACGGAAGUUCAUGCUUGGUCAGAAAAUAAAGGAGUGGGCCACUAUCGUUGGCUUCAAGGGCCGAUGAACCACUUAUCUCAUGAACAACAGUUGGAGUUCAUAGUAGACGUUAUGCGACAGAUCUUCAUUUUCUUACGUUGGUACUGAUUGACAACAACAUUCCUUCUCAGAGACCUCGAAGCUAAAAGAGGGGGUGAUGUUAGGGACAUAGUCCUUAGAACCUUCUAGAGACAAGUUUCUAGAACCUUCUAGAGACAAGCUUCUAGAACCUUCUAGAGACAAGCUUCUAGAACCUUCUAGAAGCAAGUCUUUGGAACCUUCUAGAAGCUUCUUAGUUAGUAGAAGAUAUUAAGGACAUAGUCCUCAGAACCUUCUAGAGACAAGUUUCUAGAACCUUCUAGAGACAAGCUUCUAGAACCUUCUAUAGACAAGCUUCUAGAACCUUCUAGAAACAAGUCUCAAGAACCUUCUAGAAGCUUCUUAGUUGAUAGAAGAUGUUAGGGACAUAGUCCUUAGAACCUUCUAGAGAUAAGUUUCUACAACCUUCUAGAAGCAAGUCUCUGGAACCUUCUAGAAGCUUCCUAGUUGAUAGAAGUUGCUUGAGAAGCUUCCUAAAUAGGAUUAUAUAUUGGAAUCCAGGCUAAAGAGUUCUUCAUUCUCGACAACACAUCUCUUGGAGCUUUAGCUCACCUCUCUGGUGUUGUUCUUGUAUUCAUCUGAUUAAUCUAAUUCUUGCCAGUUCUUCUUGAACUUCUUAUUAGAUCUCAAGUCUGUAUUUCUAUGUCCGUGACAAAGCUUCAUAGACGUGGUUUUGACUUUAGAUGUAUUUGUAGGUUAAAAACUUGGUCAAAAAGCUAACCAUAUAUUGGUAGCUUCUAGAACAAGUUAUCUCCAUAUAAUAGCUUGUAUAAGAAGCCAACUAUGUGGCACAUAUAUAGAUAACUUGCCUUGCAAGAUAAGACAUGUGGCUAGGAAAGUCAAUACAUGUUGGAGGUCCUAUAGGACAUUGUCAUAUAACUCUUAGUUAGAUAGUAUAUAUGGAGGCAAGAGUGAAGCCUUCUUCACUCUUAUCAAUGCCUUUCUAGUUUUAGUCUUGUUUCAAGACUUUUUAGUCUUCUUGUUUUUGACAAUAUCCAUUUUAGUUAAUAUUACAUCAUCUUUUGAAUGACUUUUUAGUUCUCUUCAGAGAUAGAAGAGUAUAUCGAGGAAUCUCUUUCUUUAAGAUUCAUAUCCUUGACAAUAAUUCAUGAUAGCAAUAGAUAUUAUCAGGAAAGAAUUUAGUUAUUUCUUCACCUAUGAUAGAUUUUUUAUAUAGUAUAAAAUGUGCCAUCUUCAUAAAAUAAUCUACUAUCAUGAAUAUAGAGUCAUAAGAACCUUAUAUUGAAAGAUCCAUGAUGAAAUCCAUAGAAACAAAAGACCAUGGUUGUUUUGGAAUAGAUAAUGGUUGAAGAAGUCCAUGAGGUUAAUGACAAGGAGUUUUUGAUCUUGAACAAAUGUCGCAUGACUGAACAAAGUCUUUCACACCCUUCUACAUUUGUAGCUACCAGAAUUCUCUAGAUAUAAGCUCCUAAGUCUUGUUGUAUCCAAAAUGUCUUCUUGCUAGAAAGUCGUGAUAUACUUAAAGAAUACGUAAUCAUGAUUUUUCUUUUGAAACAUAGAACCAACCUUCAAAAUAGAGUAGGUUGUUUUUGAACUCAAAGAUAGAAGUAUCUUGAGGCUUAGAAGAAGAAUUCUUAAUAUUGUGAAUAAGAAGAUAACAAGUCAUACUUGAUUGGAUGUGUUUCACAAGGAUUGAAUCUAUAGUCAAUGUUGAUUUUAUUACUUAAAGAUGAAAAUAUUCUAGCUUCAAGAAAAUUAUUCUUUGUUGAUCAAAAGAUAUAUUUCUUUCUUUUGGUAUAAGAUAAAAAUGUCUAGAAAGGGCGAUUGACAAACUUUGUUGUUUUUUGGAUCAAUAUGUGAUCUUUAAAUCAAAUCUUAAUAAAAACAUGCUCCAACACGCUUAGCGAUGAUUCAAAAUACAUGUUGACAUGAAGUAUUCAAGAUUCUUGUAGUCCGUAUAUACAAUGAUUAGAUUGAAAGUUUUUUCUAAAUAAUGAUGUCAUUCUUGAAAUGAAUCCACAAUUGCAAGAAGCUCUUUAUUAUAGAUUUCAUAGUUAAUCAAGGCUGCUAAAACAUUUUUGGAAUAAAAAGCUACCAAGAAAAGUUUAUCAUAUGUUUCCAUUUGUAAUAAUACAGCAUCCAAAGCAAAAUCUCAUGCAUUUUUUUCCAUAAAAAAUACCUUAGAAAAGUUGACGUGAUACAAGAUUGGUGCAAAAAUAAAUACCUACUUCAAAGUUUCAAAAGAUGCUUCAGCUUCUUUACUCCACUCAAAUUUAUCUUUGCAAAUCAACUAUAUAAGUGAGAUUGUAAUUUGAGAGAAGUCUUUGAUGAAGAUUCGAUAAUAAUUGACAAAGCCAAAAAAGCAUUGAACAUCUCUUACCAUUUUUGGAAUCUUCCAAUUUAUCAUUGUUUAAACUUUUUUAAGAUCCAAUAUAAUUUUAUCAUUUGAAAGGAUGUAUCCUAAGAAGUCGACUUGAAUAGUGUUGAAUACAUACUUUUAUAUCUUGGCAUAGAGUCUCACAUCUCUUAAUUUUUAUAACACAUGACAAACAUAAAGUUCAUAUUUAUCUAUGUUCUUAGAAUAGAUCAAGAUGUCGUCCACAUAAUAGAUAAUAAAAUCGUCUAAAAAUUCUCAAAAAAAUAUCAUUCAUUAGAUGUUGAAAAGUUGCUGAUGUAUUUGUAAGUCCAAAAGGCAUAAUAUUGUAUUCAAAAUACCCAUACCUAGUUCAAAAUGCAAUCUUCCAUUCAUUUCCUUCUUUUAUAUGUACUAGAUUGUAUGCUCUCCAUAUAUCUAUUUUUGUAUAGAUCUUAGCUUGAUUCAAAUGAUCAAGAAGUCUGGAUAUCAAAGAUAGAAGAUACCUAUUUUUGAUGGUGAUCUUCUUGAAUCUUCAAUAAUCAACUUACAUCCGCAAUGAUCCAUCUUUCUUCUUCACAAAUAAGUUUGGAGCUCUUGCUCGUGAUUUGGAAUGGCAUAUGAAAUUCUUAGCUAGAUUUUCUUUAAUAUAUUCAUUGAAUUCAGCCAAUUCAUUUUGUAAUAAACUAUAGAUUGGUCCAAAUGGUAAUUAUACUCUCUCUUGAAGGUCAAUUAAGCAGUCAUAGGGACAAUGUUCUGAAAGAGUAUCUACAUUCUUCUUCUCAAAUACAUCUUGAAAUUCUUAAUAUUGAUUAGAAAUGCCACAUGAAGUCUUCGCAUCAUUAGAAAUAGGUGUGGCAUAAAUGACACAAGGUAAUCCUUCUUUUGCAGCAUGUAGUAAGUUCUUGCACCUAUAAACAUAAGUUUAAUUAUACUAGACUUAUGACUUUUUACUGGAUUAAUUUCACUCUUAAUUAUGCUUUGAGAGAAGUGAAGGAUUUGAAAAAUCCAAUCUAUGCAAAGAUUAUAUUUUUUUAACGAUGAUAAAUCUAAAAUAACUGGAUUAGAAGGACAUCUAAUUAUAUUAAAGAUUAUGUAAUUACUAUGACCAUUUAUUGCUACAUCUAUAGGAAGUGUUUCAUGAGUAAUAUCUCCAAAAGAUAACAGAUGACCAUCUAUGACUUCUACAUGAUGUCACAGAUAUACUCAUGUAAGCUAGUAAUUACAAAUACAAAUAAGUAGAAGUAAGUAAAAGUAGGUAAAAGUAAGUUACUUCUAUAGUACUUAAUAUAGAAGCUUCCUAGAAGCUUUAUAGACACUGCUUUGACAUCAUAGGUAUCUUUCAUUGACUUUUUGGAUUGAAAACAUAGUCAACAAGUUGGCCAUGUACCACACAUGUUGUUAGCUUGAAGAUCAAGCUAACUAUGUCAUCCACACGUAGAAAAACUUGCCUUAUAAGUCAAAGCAUGUGUCCUACAAAGUCAACACAUAUUAAAGGUCCUAUAGAACAUCACCACAAAGCCCCUAGUUAGAUAGUAUAUAUAGAGAUAAAGUGAAGCCUUCUUCACUCUUGUCAAUUCCUUUCUUGCUUCCAAAGUAGUUUCAAGGGUUACUAGUUUUCUUGUCUUUUGACAAUAGCCAUUCUAGUUUUUCUUUCAAUAUACAUACUUAUUUAUUUAUAUUUUGUUACCUUUCUAUGAGUGAAGGCUCACUUGUCUAGAUUAUUUUUUCAUCCAAUUCUUGUCCUUGACACUAGAUUAUUUUUUCAUCAAGUUCUUGUCCUUGACAGAUUGACAAGAAUACACCUACAAUAUCAGAGCUUUGUCUAAUCUUGAUUAAGAGUGGAUUAUUUCUUUUUCUUGAUAAGAUAUAAACAUAUUAGAAGUUGUAGAUUACCCUCUUCUAAACAGAUAUUGUCCUUAGUAUUUUUUUUGUUCUCAAGUCCUCUCUUCUAUUUGUCUUGAGCGAUAUUAGAAAUCUUUUUUUUUUUAAGUGUUAUCAUGGCAGAACUUGCUGAAAUGAAGAAUGCAAUGGCACAAAUGGAAGAGCAAUUGAGGGAGUUAAUGCUUGUGAUGCAUCAACUUAAUUUAUCACAACAAAGAGCAACAAGAUUGGCAAGAAGUGAAGAUAUAGAAAUGGUUGAAGCUGCUUCAACAACUGCACCAAACCAUGUCCUUUCUCCUAUGGUGGAACGUCCUUUUAGUGUUAGAAAACCAAGAAUUAUCUUAUCCGAGAAGUUUGAUGGUACCAAAUCCAAGUUUUGAGGAUUUAUCAAUCAAGUUCAACUUACGAUUGAACUUCAACCCUAAAGUUACCCAACUCCAGGAUCGCAAGUUAUUGAGAAAAGAACACUACAAGCAUAACACAAGUAAGUAGAAAUCAGCAAGGUUGCACAUAAGAGAAGAGUGGAAUGAGAUGGUUCUCUCUUCCAACUCUCGUUACUUAUAGGUGGUAGUUGUUGUCCUAAAAUGACUUCUUCCACCAUUUGACUUUUAAACAUAUGCUCCUUGGAUUCUUUGGCUCAUACCAUGAGGGUAUCCAAGGAUCCUAGGAUCCUAUGGCAUCUUAUAUACCACGAGGGUAUCCUAUGCCAUAUACUAAUUACUCUUACCUAGUUCUUUGAAUAUUCCCUAGGACACACUUUAUCCUCUUGUCUUUGACUCUUUAUCCUUGACAGCAUUCUAUGUCCAUAGGAUGUUUUUUCUAUAUGCCAAGAGUCAAGCCUUUGACCAUUAGCAACUUACCUAAGGUAAUAUCCUUUAUGAGGUAACUUAUUCUACUUUAACUAUUAUCUAUUCAUCUUUUUCUUUUACCUCAACACUCCCACUUUGCUAAUUGUCAAAGCCCUUCAAACCUAAUGCCUUUGUUAACAUAUGAUGUCUAUCUUUGACCAAUGCCUUUGAUAAUAAAUUAGCAAGCAUAUCCUCUGUUGCACAAUACUUCAAGUCAAUCACUCCCAUUUCAAUCUUCUCUCUUAUAAAGUGAUGUUGAAUGUCAAUGUGCUUGGUUCUUGAAUGAUGCUUUGGAUUCUUUACAAAAGCAAGGCAUCCUUGAUUGUCACAAUUCAAUAGAGUUGCUUCCAAUUGCACAAGUCCAAUGUCCUCCAAAACUUGCCUUAACCAUGUUGCUUCCAUUGCACCCUAGCUUGUUGCCAUGUACUCCGCUUCCAUUGGGGACCUUGCAAUUGUGGGUUGUCUCUUACAAUUCCAUGAAAUUUCUCCCACUCCAACAAAGAAUACAUAGCCCGUUGUUGACCGCCUAUCAUUUGCAUCUCCAGCCCAAUCCGCAUCACAAUAACCAUGCAAAGCAAUACUUUCACUUCUAAGGCACAAUUUGAAGUCCAAAGUGUCUUUCAAGUACCUCAUGAUCUUCUUGAUGGUUGCCCAAUGAAUUGGUCUUGCUUCUGACAUGUGUUGACUUACGACACUCACCGCAUAAGCAAGGUCCACCCUUGUGCCAACCAUUGCAUACAUGAGUGAUCCAACUGCUGCCUUGUAUGGAACACCUUAUAUUUGGCCUUCAACUUGUGCAAAGUCUUCAUCCGUGAGCUUCAUCAACUUCAAAUUGAACUCCAAAGGUGUUCCAAUAGUGUCAUGGACAUACAUCGGAAGAUUCUUUGAAUAUUCUUCUAGAAUAUUCUCUAAAGAUUCUCUAAACAUUCCUUUAGAAGGUUCUAGAAGAUUCUUAGAAUAUUCCCUAAAGAUUCUCUUAGAAGGUUCUAGAAUAUUCUGAUAGAUUCUAGGAAGUUGCUCGAGAAGUUUCCUAAUUAGUAGAAGUUGUUGGAGAAGCGUCCUAGUUAGCGGAAGUAGCUCGAGAAGCUUCCUAUUCAGUAGUAUAUAUAGGAGUUGAGGCUGAAGGGUUCUUCAGUCUCGACAACACAUCUCUUGGAGUUCUAGCUCACCUUUCUGGUAUUGUUCUUGUACUCAUCUGUUUAAUCUAGUUCUGCCACUUCUUCUUGAACUUCUUGUUAGAUUUCAAGUCUGUAUUUUGUGUCCGUGACAGUUUGUCGAGACUGCAUUUUCACUGGUAUCAGAGCUAGUUCCUUCUUGUUAGAGAGUGGAUUACCCCUCUUCUUGAAGGUGUGCUAGUGUUUUAGAGGUUGCGGAUUACCCUCCUCUAAACUGAUAUCUCUUCUUUCUCAAUAUUGGAGCCUUAUUCUUCUUGGAGAGAGUGGAUUAUCCCUCAUCUUGGAGUCUUAAGGCGUUUUAGAGGUUGCGGAGUACUCUCCUCUGAACCAAUAUUGUCCUCUUGUCAAAAUUCUUUUUUCUUCUUUCUGAAGGUUAGCCGAAGGUUAAGACGUUAAAAUGGCUAAAAGUUUGGAAUCCAAACUAGACGCCAUCAUAAAUGCUCUUGCCUCGUUGUCACAUAGGACAAUAGAGAUCGAAGGAGUCAUGGUAGGACUCCAUAACAAUGGAGCAUCUGGGAUAGCGCCAUCUAAAGCAUAUCAGCCUCAAACUUCUGCGCCAGAAGAAGCAGUUCUACCUCCAUUUCAACAAGAUCGAGUAGUCCUACAACGAAAGGAGCCUCGAGUUAGUCUUCCGGAUAAGUUUGAUGGAACUCGUUCCAAGUUUCGAGGUUUUGUCAACCAAAUCAGGUUGAUAACAAUUUUACAGCCCGAACGUUAUCCGAUGGAGGAAGCGCGUGUUGGGCUUGUUGGAACCUUGCUUACAGCACAAGCUCUGUCUUGGUUUACUCCCUUGUUCGAGAAGCGAUCGCCAAUCUUGAGCAACUUUGAAACGUUCUUGGAGGCGUUUGCAGAAGCAUUUGGCGAGCAUGAUAAAGUUCGAUGGGCUACAACAAAGAUCCGAUCGCUACGACAAGGAACACGCUCUCCAUCAGUCUAUGCCUCGGAUUUCAGACAAUUGGCAAGUGACAUUAAUUGGGGUGAAGAGGCGUUGGUGAGUCAGUUUUAUUGGGGCUUGAAGGAUGAUGUGAAGGACUUGCUGUUAUCUCUUCCUGAUCCUCAAACGCUCAACGAAGCUAUUAGCCAAGCUGUAAAGUGUGACAACCGCCUAUUCCAGCGUCGCCAAUACCAACGUCCAAGACACCAAAUGACUCGUUACGACGUGACUAUGUCUACAAAUAGCUUAAACUCACAUUCGGAGGCAACAGACAUGCAAAUCGACACGGUGCGUGUCCGAUCUCUUACUCCAACAGAGAAGAAACGGCGUAUGGAGGAAGGGUUAUGUUUGUACUGUGGAGAAGAAGGUCACAAGGUUGGAAAUUGCCCAAAGAAGCAAAAUUGGCACCCUGUCAAGACUAGAAGUGCGAUGAUUCCGGAAAACGACGACGCCCAGCCACAGUAGGAACCGUGCGGCUGGACAAUCUAAUAUCACAACAACAAUCAGGUUCCUCCUUCUCUGUCCAACCUGCCCGUUGUUUUACAAUUCCUUUGUUUUUAGGCCCUCAAAAACAAAAAACUUUAGCUUUAUUGGAUUCAGGGGCAUCUACUUGUUUUUUAGAUGAAGAGUUUGCUAAAUGCCACAAGAUCCGUUUAGUACAGAAGUCCAAACCUGUUCACGUAGAGGUGAUAGAUGAACGACCCUUAUUGUCAGGCAACGUUACCCACGAAUCAGAACCUAUAGAAGUGGUGUUUAAAGACCAUAGUAGUCACGUUAUUUUUAAUAUUAUUAGAACCCCAUCAAGCCCUGUUAUCCUUGGUCUUUCUUGGUUAGAAGAUCAUAAUCCGUCCAUUGAUUGGAGGCUACGAAGGAUAACAUUUCCUGAAAAAAAUAAUAAUAAACCUGUUGGUAGAACCUACAUGAAGAAAUCCAUGUUUAUUGGAGCGAGAGCGUUCCUAAGAUCGUCCAAGGAAGGCGCACCAUUUGUCAUUUAUGCAGCUCCAACUAGCGGCGAGAAUAUCUCAACAUCGAAUAUACCAGAGCAAUAUAGGGAUUUUGAAGACGUGUUUCAGAAGAAAAACGCCGAUAUACUGCCGGAACAUCGACCAUAUGAUUGCGCCAUAGACUUAGAGGAAGGAGCGCAACCACCUUUUGGUCCAAUAUACAACCUAUCGCAGACGGAGUUGGCAGAAUUGCGGAAGUACAUCGAUGAGAAUCUAGCCAAGAAUUUUAUUCAACAUUCAAAGUCGCCAGUUGGAGCACCAAUCCUAUUCGUGAAGAAAAAGGAUGGCUCACUGCGGAUGUGCGUGGACUACCGAGGACUCAACAAGGUGACCAAGAAAAAUCGCUAUCCCUUACCUUUGAUCUCCGGCCUCUUAGAUCAACUUGGACGUGCAAGGAUUUUUACAAAGAUUGAUUUAAGAGGAGCCUACAACCUUGUGCGAAUCAAAGAAGGAGAUGAAUGGAAGACAGCCUUUCGUACAAGGUAUGGCCAUUUUGAGUACAAUGUCAUGCCUUUUGGUCUUACCAAUGCUCCAGCGAUCUUUCAGCAUAUGAUGAACGACAUCUUUCGGGAGUACCUCGAUGACUUUGUUGUCAUCUAUCUGGAUGAUAUUUUGAUAUUUUCCAAGAAUGAAGAAGAACAUGAGAAGCACGUUUGUUUGGUUCUUGAAAAACUACGCAAACGAGGACUCUACGCCAAGUUGGAGAAGUGUCAAUUUCACCAGAAUGAGAUGGAAUUUUUGGACUUCAUUGCGACUACAGAGGGCUUGAAGAUGGAUCCAAAAAAGGUAGAAGCAAUUAUAUCUUGGAAAGUUCCGAAGACGGUUAGAGAUGUUCAGUGUUUUCUUGAAUUUGCUAACUUCUAUCGGAUCUUCAUCAAGAAUUAUUCUCAAGUUGCUGCACCACUCACGCAUCUAACAAGCAAAGACAAGCUCGAAUGGGGAUCACAAGCAGCAAAAGCAUUUCAAGAUCUCAAGACGGCAUUCACUACGGCUCCAAUCUUGGUACACCCUGACUUUGCAAAGGCUUUCUAUUUAGAGACCGAUGCUUCAGAUUUUGCUUUGGGAGCUGUGCUUUCACAGAUGGGCAUAGACAAGAAGCUUCAUCCAGUUGCGUUCUAUUCACGAAAGUUCUCUGCUGCUGAGAUCAACUAUGAGAUCCACGACAAAGAGUUGCUUGCUAUAGUGGAUGCCUUCCAAGAGUGGCGUCACUUCCUCGAAGGAGCUGCACAUCCAGUGACUGUUUAUACGGACCACAAGAAUUUGGAGUACUUCAUGACAGCUCGAAUUUUGAAUCGUCGUCAAGCUCGAUGGAAUAUGUCUCUAUCACGAUUUGACUUUAUUAUCACCUAUCGCCUUGGAAAACAGCAAGGAUUAUCUGACGCAUUAUCGAGGAGAUCGUAUCUUGCGCCAAAGGCUGGAGAAGCAGCGUUUGAUCAACAAUGUACAACAUUGUUGAAACUAGAAAAAUUCAGGAUUUUUGCUACUGUUGCAACUAUCGAUGACGGCUUCCUCAGCGAGGUACGUACUGCGACCAUUGAGGAUUCUAUAGCUCUUGACAUCAAACAACGUGUCGAUAAUGACAAGUUUAAGGUGGAGGGAGAUCUUCUGUAUUUUGAGGAGCGGUUGUAUAUCCCAAAAGGACCAACUCGACUCCGAGUACUUCAAUCUCGCCACGACUUUCCAGCUGCGGGACAUUUUGGAUUCAACAAGACUUUGGAGCUCAUUUCACGAGAUUUUUGGUGGCCCCAAAUGUGGAAGGAUGUGAAGGAAUUUGUCCUUUCUUGUGAUGUUUGUUCAAGAUCCAAGAUCCCUCGACAUCGUCCGUAUGGACUUCUCCAGCCAUUGCCUAUUCCGCACCGACCAUGGUCUUCAGUUUCUAUGGACUUCAUUACGGACCUACCACCAUCGAAUUCAUUUGACAGCAUCUUUGUUGUGGUGGAUCGAUUUACAAAGAUGGCGCAUUUCGUGCCUUGCAAGAAAACAUCGUCAAGUGAAGACACCGCAAGACUCUUUCUUGAUAACAUAUAUCGUUAUCAUGGCCUACUAGAUGAUAUCGUGUCGGAUCGAGGUACUCAGUUUGUAUCCAAGUUUUGGAGGUCCCUCUUUGAGAUAUUGAAGGUGGAUAUUAAGCUCUCUUCGGCUUUUCAUCCUCAAACUGACGGUCAAACGGAGCGGGUGAAUCAAGUUUUGGAGCAAUAUUUACGAUGCAGCAUCAACUAUCAACAAGAUGAUUGGACUGCAUAUCUACCGCUUGCUGAGUUCGCAUACAACAACACUCUUCAUGCGUCAACUCAACAAACACCAUUCUUCUCCAACUACGGAUACCACCCCAAGCUCGAUUUAUUGAGUUCUUCAGCAAAUAACAACCCAACAGCUGAAGGAUUUGUGAAGCAACUAUCGGAGCUUCAAGCGACGUUGAAGCUUCAAUUGCAAUCUGCCCAAGAGAGUUACAAGGCAUCUGCAGAUAAAUAUCGAAAUGAGGCGCCUACUUUUAAAGUUGGAAGUAAAGUAUGGCUUCUUUGACGGAAUAUCAAGACCAAGCGGCCAUGUGACAAAUUGGACUAUCGGAGAUUAGGGCCAUUUGUUAUCGAGAAGCAGAUCAAUCCGGUGGCAUAUCGUCUGGAGUUACCAGCUACUAUGAAGGUACAUCCAAUCUUUCAUGUGUCUUUGUUGGAACCUUAUCGAGAGUCAGCUUUUCCCCAAAGAGUACAAAGUCCGCCACCAAGUAUCGAAAUUGAAAACCAUGAGGAAUACGAGGUGGAAAAAGUACUAGAUUCACGGCGUAAUAGGAGAAAAUUGGAGUAUUUAGUGCAUUGGAGUGGAUACGACAUCAAUGAACGAACGUGGGAGCGUGCCGAAAAUCUUGCCAAUGCACCAAAAAAGGUACAAGAAUUUCAUCAACGAUAUCCUCAUAAACCUAAGCCGAUUCAACGAUAGCUUCUUGCUGAAGCUUACUCAUCAAGUAGCAUAAAAAGGGAGGAGGGCACCUCCAAAACCCAUAGUUCGAUAGUGUAGAACUUUGUUAGCAACUAUAGUUUGUUCUCAUCAUUUUAGCUUUUAGACAUGGAUAGUCAAGAUACUACACUUGUUAUGUCAUCUCAAGCGACUAGCUCACGAAGACGACCGCGAGAUGAAGAACCGCCUGCACCAUGACGACGUCGGAGGAUAUCGAGCAACAGAUCGCUAGUAAUUGUAUUUGAGGUCGAGCCUGCCUACGACGGUCAGCCAGAAGGUGUGUUUGGAGGACAGUUUCACAAUGAAGACACAGAAGUCUACGCUUGGUCAGAGGUUGAAGGUGUUGGUCACUACCGUUGGCUCCAAGGGCCGAUGAAUCAUUUGCCUCGCGAACAACAAUUGGAAUUCAUAGCGGAUGUGAUGCGACAGAUUUUCAUUUUUUUGCGUUGGUAUUGACUGAUAACAACAUUGCUUCUCGGAGACCUCGAAGUUAGAAGAGGAGGUGAUGUCAUGGACAUACAUUGGAAGAUUCUUCGAAUAUUCUUCUAGAAUAUUCUCUAAAGAUUCUCUAAAGAUUCCUUUAGAAGGUUCUAGAAGAUUCUUAGAAUAUUUCCUAAAGAUUCUCUUAGAAGGUUCUAGAAUAUUCUUAGAAGGUUCUAGAAUAUUCUUAGAAGGUUCUAGAAUAUUCUGAUAGAUUCUAGGAAGUUGCUCGAGAAGUUUCCUAAUUAGUAGAAGUUGUUGGAGAAGCGUCCUAGUUAGCGGAAGUAGCUCGAGAAGCUUCCUAUUCAGUAGUAUAUAUAGGAGUCGAGGCUGAAGGGUUCUUCAGUCUCGACAACACAUCUCUUGGAGUUCUAGCUCACCUUUCUGGUGUUGUUCUUGUACUCAUCUGUUUAAUCUAGUUCUGCCACUUCUUCUUGAACUUCUUGUUAGAUUUCAAGUCUGUAUUUUGUAUCCGUGACAAAUAGGCUUGCAAUCCUCCAUGUUGAAUCGUUUCAACACUUCUUCAAUGUACUUCUUUUGGCUCAUUGUGAUGGUCUUGUUAGCACGAUCUCUUGCAAAUUCCACUCCUAAGCAAUAGUGAAGCUCUCCCAAAUCACUCAUCUCAUAUUCUUUUUCUAACUUUCCUUUCAACCAAUCCAUCAUCUUUAAAGUAUUCGUUAAGAUGAUUAAAUCAUCUACAUAAAGGUUAACAAUCAUCAAAAACUCUUUUGAUUGUAUCACAUAACUAGAAUGGUGAGUCUCACUUCUUUGGAAUCCCUCAUUAACAAAGAAUGUGUCAAUUCUUUGAUACCAUGCCCUUGGAGAUAGCUUGAGUCCAUACAAGGAUUUCUUCAACUUACAAACAAGAUGUUGCUUGCCUUCUUCUACAAAUCCUUGAGGUUGAUCCAUGUAGAUGUCUUCUUCUAACUCUCCAUUCAAGAAAGCCGCUUUCACAUCCAUUUGAUGCAUCUCCAAGUCCAUUGCUGCCCCAAUUGCCACAAUGAUUCUAAUGGUGGUGAACUUAGCCAUGGGAGCAAAUGUCUCAUUGAAAUCAACACCAGCAACUUGUGAGUAUCCUUUAGCAACUAGCCUUGCCUUAUAUCUCAUAAUAUCAUCCAUUGCAUCCCUCUUGGUUCUAAACACCCACUUACAACCAAUUGAAGAUCGAUUUGAUGGAAGUUGAGUCAAUUCCCAUGUUCCAUUGCUCAUGAGAGAUUUGUACUCUUCUUCCAUAGCCUCCUCCCACUUCAACGCAUUCGUAGACUUCAUAGCAUCACAUAUAUUCAAUGGACCAGUAAGGAGUGCAACAUUGGCAUGUUCUUCACUUACUUGAGGAAAGAUGUGGUCCUUCCACCAUUCACCACGUUGUUUUCUUUCUCUUGUAGGAUAUCUCCUAUCAUUUGAAGAAGAUUCACCUUGAUGCUCUCCAACCUUCUUUUCUUUUGAACCUUGUCUCUUCUCACUCAAAUGUUGGUAUUCCUCAUCAUCAUCAUCAUCUUCAACUUCUUCAUUGUUUGUCAUCCCAAUUGUAUACACUUCCUUCUUCUUCUUCUUCAUCUUCUUUGGUUCUUCAUGUUGAUUCAAAUCUCCACUAUCUUCAUUGUCUUCAUCUUCUUCUUCUUCUUUUGUUGCUGAAAUUGAAGAUGUGUCCACAAACACACCAUUACUCCCACUUGGACACAUCUCCAAGUACUCACAAGCACUUUUAUACUCCAUAAAUUCAACAUCACGACUUUUGAUGAUCUUCUUGGUAUCCAAACACAUUAGCCUAUAUGCCUUGGUACCUUCACAAUAUCCAAGAAACACACAUUUUGUACCUUUUGCAUCAAAUUUGGACCGCAUACAAUCUGGUAUUUUUGCAUAAGCAAUGCAUCCAAAAGUCCUCAUGUGUGAAACACAAGGUUUCUUCCCACUCCAAGCUUCUUGUGGAGUCAUUGAUGUAAGUGCAUUUGUACGACACUUAUUCCUUGUAUACACUGCAUUCACCACAGCUUCCACCAAAAAUUCAUGCCCAAGGUUUUGAGCAUGAAUCAUACUCCUUGCCAUCUCCACAAUAGUUCGAUUUGCUCUUUCAGCAACUCCAUUUUGUUGUGGAGUAUAGAGAGUUGAAGUUUGUCUUGCAAUACCAUAAAUCUUCAAAUACUCAUCAAAAUGCUUUGACAAAUACUCACCUCCAUUGUCUGUAUGCAACAUCUUGAUCCUGCACUCACAUUGCUUCUCCACAAGUGCCUUAAAUUCCUUAAACUUUGAAAAGCAUUCACUCUUGGAUUUAAGGAUGAAAAUCCACACCUUCCUUGAAAAGUCAUCAAUAAAUGUAACAAAGUACCUUGAACCUGCCAUUGAUGGUAUCAUCAUAGGUCCACAAACAUCAGAAUGCACAAUCUCCAACAAUUUGGUUGCAUGUGUUGCAACUCCACUUGAAAAUGAAGCUCUUUGUUGUUUGUCUUGAAUAAAACCUUCACAAGUAAGAUUUGUGCAUGAUUGACCAAGAUUUAAGCCACUAACCAUGGAUUGGAGCUCCUUCAUACUUUUGGCAUUGAAAUGACCAAGGCGUCAAUGCCAAAUGCCAAACUUGUCUUGAUCUUGUGGAAAUUCAGCAAAUGUCGCCACUUCAACUCCAUUCACCUUCUUACAAUUGAUGAAGUAGAGAUUGCCAUCUCUAAAGCCUUUCAAAAGAUUAUCUACAUCCAUUGUCUUCACAAAGCAUCCAUUUAUAUCAAAUUGCAUCUUACAACCAUGAGAAACAAGUUUACUCACCGAAAGAAGGUUCUUCUUCAUCUUUGGUACAUGUAACACUUCUUUCAAUCUGAUCUUCUUCAUUUGAUUCUUCACAACAAUCUCCACCAUAAUGGAGCCAAUUCCAAUAGCUUGCACCAUGCCAUUAUCUCCUAACUAUACUUUUGUUGUUGGAAUAGUCUCAUAAGUAUUAAAUGAACACUUAUAUGGAGUCAUGUGCUUGGUAGCACCCGAAUCAAUGAUCCAUUUGGACAUGGUAGCCAUAGACGUGCCUUCACUUGCCAUGAAUGCAUAAUCAUCUCCACCAACUUCAUCACAUGGAUUGUUAGCAUUUUUUCUAUCUCCUUUCUUGGCCUUGUAGCAAUUUCAUGCAAAAUGACCCGAUUUUCUACAAAUGAAGUAAGUUCUUGCAUUGCUUCUCACAUUGUCACGUUGGUUGGAAUAGGUACCUUUGCCUUGUCUUGAGAAGAGAGCUAAAUCUUCACUUUCAUGCUCCUUCUUUUUCCUUUUAGUUACUUCAUAUGCAAGUCUUGAUGUCACAUAGUCUAUUGUAAGCUCCUUCAACCUCAAAGACUCCAAUGCCACAAUGAGGUAGUUGUAGGACUUGGGAAGACUCAUGAGUAGAGUCAUGACAAUAUCACCAUCCUCUAAAGGCUUGUAAACAAUUGCUAGUUGAUUUGCAAGGGCCUUUACCUUAUUAACAUGUGCCAUGAGGUCUUCACCUUCUUCCAUCUUACAAAUGAAGAAUUUCCUUCUUGUGAAAAGGAUGUUGGAUAAGUUCUUGCUCUCAUAUAUGUUUCAAAGUGUCUUCCAUGCUUCCGCUGGUCCUUUGCAAUGGAUAAUGUGAGAAAAGUUGGCUUCAUCCAAAUUGAUGGCAAUCAUGCCAAAAGCCUUCUUUUCAAGUCUUUUGAAGUCCUUGUGGUCCUUAGGGCUUGCAUCUAUGCUUGGAGGGUCUUCACUCUCAUCUACAAUAUCCCAAAGGUCCAAAGAUGCCAACAAAAGCUCCAUUUUGACCUUCCAAUGGUAGAAAUUGUUGCCUCUAAACUUCUCAAUCACUCUCAAACCUUCACACUCACAAGAAGCCAUGUCUAAGGAGGAGUGCAUCAAAAAAUAUUGAAAAAAGGAGUCUCUAAAAGCUUAAAAUCAACAAACGGAGUUUGCACUAGCAGAAUCUCAGAAUACCCUGUUAUGAACAAAAGAGUGGUAUCUCACUGAAAACACUUUCAACUCAACUUUUGAAGCUUUCUACAAGUAAUUGCACCCUCAUGGAACUCACAAUCACUCGUCUUAAUCACUUUUUCAUCAAAACACUCAAGAAUAAUGAAGAAACUUCACCAACUCAAAAGAUACUAUCAAGGUCUUUCUACAAAGUCUUAACCUCACAAAGCAAAGAGAUAAGAACCCACAAAGCAAUGUUAGAGAUGUACAAGCUUAAUACCAAUAGCUUCUUUAUACCAACAAACCUAACAUCAACAAAUACCAUAAGAUCUAAUCCACACAAAAGCAACAAAGAGAAAAUGACUUCAACUUACUUGAAUAGCACAACAAAGAAUGUGUGGAUCCAUAACCUAUUGAAAAAAAAACACUAUAAGCAUAACACAAGUAAGUAGAAAUCAGCAAGGUUGUACAUAAGAGAAGUGUGGAAUGAGAUGGUUCUCUCUUCCAACUCUCGUUACUUAUAGGUGGUGGUUGCUGCACUAAAAUGACUUCUUCCACCAUUUGACUUUUACACAUAUGCUCCUUGGAUCCUUUGGCUCAUACCAUGAGGAUAUCCAAGGAUCCUAGGAUCCUGUGGCAUCUUACAUACCACGAGGGUAUCCUAUGCCAUAUACUAAUUACUCUUACCUAGUUCUUUGAAUAUUCUCUAGGACACACUUUAUCCUCUUGACUUUGACUCUUUGUCCUUGAUCGCAUCCUAUGUCUAUAGGAUGUUUUUUCUAUAUGCCAAGAAUCAAGCCUUUGACCAUUAGUAACUUACCUAAGGUAAUAUCUUUUACGAGGUAACUUAUUCUACUUUAACUAUUAUCUAUUUGUCUUUAACUUUUACCUCAACACAAGUUAGAUUCAUUAGUACGCUUCUUUCAGGUUCAAUACUAUCGUGGUUUUCAUCUUUUAUUGAUCAACAAGAUUUAAUAUUGGAUAAUCUAGAGGUUUCUCUGGCGGAGUUUUGAUCCAUGUAUGGAGAACAUGAUACAAUUUAUGUUGCAACCAAUAAGAUCCAUACUUUACGACAAGACAAUCAAUCAGUAACGUUGUAUGUUUCAUAAUUUUGACAACUUGUAAUUGAUAUCAAGUGGGAUGAUGCUGCACUUAUUAGCCAAUUUUUCUAUGGAUUACAAUAUGAGGUAAAAAAAUUAAUGCUCAACUUACCUGAUCUUCAAACAUUGAGUCAAGCAAUUGACUUUGCUAUGAAGUGCGACAAUCACCUUUUUGAGUUUCAAUCUAAGAACCGUAGAAGUGGACCUCAACAUUACUCUAAUUCAAUGGCAAUAUCAACACCUCUUUAACACAUACAUUUGGAAGUAGAGGAUAUGCAAAUUGAUGCAGUAUGUUUCAAACCUCUUAUUGAGCAAAAAAAGACUCAUCGUUGUCAAGUAGGAUUAUGUUUAUAUUGUGGAGAAUCAAAGCACACUACUCAAAAUUGUCCAAAGAAACGACGCAAUCACAAAAUGAGGAGUAUGAUUGUGAAAGAAGAUAAUAUGUUAGAAAACGAGUUUAUCCAGCUACAAUAGAGACCGUGCGAUUGGAACCUUGCACAACAUCUAGUAAAGGUCCUAUUCUCUCCUCAGAUCCCUUUCCUUGUUUUAUAUUAAAUAUUAUUUAAGGACCUAAAUAUUACAAAGCCUCUACCUUGUUAGAUUUGGGAGCCUCAGCGUAUUUUUUAGAUGAAGAAUUUACUAAAAGACUUACAAUAUCUUUAGUAAAGAAAACUAAACCUGUUCAUGUAGAAGUCAUAGAUGGUCGUCCAUUGUCUUCUGGAGAUAUAACUCAUAAAACCCUUCCUAUAGAAGUAAUAAUCAAUAGUCAUAAUAGCUUUGUAGUAUUUAAUAUCAUUAGAUCUCGUUCUAAUCUAGUCAUUUUAGGUUUAUCGUGGUUAGAAAAAUACAACCCUCAAAUAGAUAGGAUUUUCCAAACUCUUACUUUUUCUAAAAGUUUAGCUAACAGUGUAGUUAAUCAAGUAAAGAGUCAUAAGUCCAGUUCAAUUAAACCCGUAUUUAUAGGUACAAAAGCUUUCUUGUAUGCUAUUAUAAAACAUUCACCAUAUAUUAUUUAUGCCACAUUUGUUCUUACUGGUGAAAAGACUUCAAGUGGCAUUCCAAGCCAAUAUCAAGAAUUUCAAGAUAUAUUCAAAAAAAAAAAUGUAGAUACACUUCCCGAACAUCGCUCCUAUGAUUGCUCAAUUGACCUUCAAGAAAGAGUACAACGGCCAUUUGGACCAAUCUAUAGUUUAUCACAACAUGAAUUGACUAAACUCAAGGAGUAUAUUGAAGAAAAUCUAGCCAAGAAUUUCAUACGCCAUUCUAAAUCUUUGACUGGAGCUCCAAUUCUAUUUGUGAAGAAAAAAGAUGGAUCAUUGCAGCUGUGUGUUGAUUAUCGAGGACUCAAUAAGAUUACCACCAAGAACAGGUAUCCACUACCUUUAAUAUCUAGACUUCUUGAUCAGCUAAAUCAAGUUAAGAUCUAUACAAAAAUAGAUCUUCGGGGAGCAUACAAUCUAGUAUGCAUCAAAGAAGGAGAUGAAUGGAAGACUGUGUUUCGAACAAGGUAUGGACAUUUUGAAUACAAUGUCAUGCCUUUUCAACUUACAAAUACACCAGCAGCUUUUAAACAUCUAAUGAAUGAUGUUUUUUGAGAGUUUUUGGACGAUUUUGUGAUCUGUCAUCUAGACGACAUCUUGAUCUAUUCUAAGAAUCCAGAAGAACAUGAACUUCAUGAUCGUUGUGUGUUACAAAAAUUAAGAAAUGUAGGACUCUAUGCCAAGAUAGAAAGGUGUAUAUUCCACACUACUCAAGUUGAUUUCUUAGGUUACAUCAUUUCAAAUGAUGGACUUAUGAUGGAUCCUAAGAAAGUUCAAACUAUUAUAGAUUGAAAGAUCCCAAAAAUGGUAAGAGAUGUUCAAUGUUUUUUAGAAUUUACCAACUACUAUCGAAUCUUCAUGAAAGACUUCUCUCGAGUUGCAGCUCCACUUACAUGUUUGACUUGUAAAGACAAACUCCAAUGGAAUCAAGAAGCGGAAGUUGCUUUUGAAUCUUUAAAGACAAUGUUUGUUUGUGCACCAAUCUUGUAUCGUGUUGAUUUUUUCAAAGCAUUCUUUAUGGAAACAAAUGCAUCAGACUUUGCUCUCGGUGCGAUUUUAUCACAAAUGGGAACAGAUAAUAAAUUUCAUCCAAUAGCCUUUCAUUCAAGAAAUUUCUCAGCAACAGAAACCAAUUAUGAGAUCCAAAACAAAGAACUUCUUGCAAUUGUGGAUUCUUUUCAAGAAUGGCAUCAUUAUCUAAAAGGCGCUUCUAGUCCAGUCACCGUAUAUAUGGAUCACAAAAACCUCGAAUAUUUUAUGUCAACACGAGUAUUAAAUCGUCGUCAAGCUCGUUGGAGCAUGUCUUUAUCAAGAUUCGAGUUCAUCAUCACUUAUCGGCCAGGAAAACAAGAAGGUUUGUCCGAUGCCUUGUCUAAACAUUCUUAUCUUGCACCAAAAGAAGGAGAUGCAGCUUUUGAGCAACAAAGAACGGUUCUCUUGAAGCCGGAGCAAUUUCAUCUUCGAGCAAUAAAAUCAACAUUGACUGUUGAUUUAACUUUUCUUAAGUAAGUCUAGUAAAGUAUGUCUUCAGACCCUCUUAUUUAUGAUAUCAAGAAUAAUUCUUUUAAAUCUCAUGAUCCCUCUAAAUUUGAAUUCAAGAACAACCUACUCUAUUUAGAAGGAUGCCUAUAUGUUCCAGAAGGAGAAGCACGUUUACGUAUUCUUCAAGCUCGUCACGACUUCCCAGCAACAUGACAUUUUGGAUAUAAUAAGACUUUGGAGCUAAUAUCUAGGGAUUUUUGGUGGCCUCAAAUGUGGAAGGCAGUCAAAGAUUUUGUACAAUCAUGUGAUGUUUGCUCAAGAUCAAAACUCCUUGUCAUCCACCUUUUGGACUUAUUCAGCCAUUACCCAUUCCAGAACAACCAUGGUCUUCUGUUUCUAUGGACUUCAUCAUGGAUCUUCCAAUCUCAGGUUCUUAUGAUUCUAUUUUUGUGAUAGUAGAUCAAUUUACCAAGAUGGUACAUUUUGUACCAUGUACAAAAUCUAUCAUAGGUGAAGAAACAGCUAAGCUCUUUUUCGACAAUAUCUAUCGCUAUCAUGGAUUAUCCAAGGAUACUAUAUCAGAUAGGGGAACUCAAUUUGUAUCAAGAUUUUGGUGUACUCUUUCUAAGAUCUAAAAGUGGAUAUAAAACUAUCUUCAAUAUUCCAUCCUCAAAUUGAUGGACAAACGAAGCGUAUUAAUCAAGUUUUGGAGCAAUAUUUAAGAUAUACCAUUAAUUACCAAUAAGAUGAUUCGACAACUCUUUUGCCAUUGGUUGAGUUUGCUUACAAUAACAUGGUACAUUUUUCUAUAAAACAAACACCUUUCUUUGCUAAUUAUGGUUAUCAUCCAUGACUUGAUACUUUUGACUUUUCAAAAGUUGAUAAUCCUACUGCGAAAGAUUUGGCGAUUCAUUUAUCAGAGCUACAUACAACGAUGAAGGCAAAGUUAAAAGAGGCUCAAGAAUAACAAAAUGUCAAUGCAGAUGUCUAUCAAAAGGAACAACCACCAUUCCUCUUGGGUGAUAAGGUAUGGCUACUUCAUCGCAAUAUCAAGACCACUCGUCCUUGUGAUAAGUUGGACUAUCGAAGGCUGGGACUAUUUUCUAUUUUUGCACAAAUCAAUCCAAUUGCAUAUCGUUUACAUUCAUUGGAGUCAAUAAAAAUCCAUCUAGUAUUCUGCGUAUCUCUUCUUGAACCAUACAAGACAAUGGACAUACCAAAAAGACGACAAGCUCCAUUUCCUCCUAUAGAAGUGGACAAUAAUGAAGAGUUUGAAGCAGAAGAAGUCUUAGAUUCAAGGCAGCGCCAAAAUGAAUUGAAAUAUCUUGUCCAUUGGCACGGAUAUGAUAUUAGUGAAUGCACAUGGGUACGAAUAAAGAAUCUUGCAAAUGCAGCAAAGGCGGAGGAGGCUUUUCAUCGACGACAUCCAUCAAAAUCAAGAUGAAAACCUUCUUUAUAAAAUAAACAAUAUCUAGGCAAGAUAACAUUCUACUUUCAAUCCUUGUUCAUAGCUUCUUUGUUGUUGUGACGUUGAGGAGAUGGAGAACCAACAACUAGUGGAUUCGACUCAAGAGCCUUCAUUUGUUGACCUGUUAGACGAGAUAUUACGAUUGUUACAACUUUCAAGAUGACGCAAUCGAGAUGAAGAUCUUCAAGAAUGACAUGUUCUUUCUCGAAUAGAUGGUAAGAUAUAACACGUUUGGUAUCACGAUUUGGGAAGGGACUACCAAUGUUUGGUAAUUUUGCUAGAAGUAGGAACAACUCCUGAUGGUGUUUCAAAUGUUCUAUUUGAAGGAAGUUAUGAAGGCCUCAAUAAUGAUCAAAUAAUAGGGUGGUCUUCCCACCCUGGUAUAGGACACUACCGAUGGUUGAGAGGCCCUAUCAAUCAUCUUCGAAGAGAACAAAGAUCAGACUAUGUGGCGAAUACAAUUCGUCACAUCAUAGAUUUCCUCAACAUAUGAUGACCACUCCUCGUGGACUUAUCCCUAGAAAGGGGGUAAUGUCACGGAUAUACUCAUGUAAGCUAGUAAUUACAAAUACAAAUAAGUAGAAGUAAGUAAAAGUAGGUAAAAGUAAGUUACUUCUAUAGUAUUUAAUAUAGAAGCUUCCUAGAAGCUUUAUAGACGUUGCUUUGACUUCAUAGGUGUCUUUAAUUGACUUUUUGGAUUAGAAACAUAGUCAACAAGUUGGCCAUGUACUAUACAUGUUGUUAGCUUGAAGAUCAAGCUAACUAUGUGAUCCACAGGUAGAAAAAUUUAUCUUUAAUUGACUUUUUGGAUUAGAAACGUCGUCAACAAGUUGGCCAUGUGCCAUACAUGUUGUUAGCUUGAAGAUCAAGCUAACUAUGUCACCCACACGUAGAAAAAUUUACCUUGUAAGUCAAGGCAUGUGUCCUACAAAGUCAACACAUAUUUGAGGUCCUAUAGAACGUCGCCACGAAGCCCCUAGUUAGAUAGUAUAUAUAGAGACAAGAGUGAAGCCUUCUUCACUCUUGUCAAUUCUUUUCUUGCUUCCACAGUAGUUUCAAGGGUCACUAGUUUUCUUGUCUUUUGGCAAUAGCCAUUCUAGUUUUUCUUUCAAUAUACAUACUUAUUUAUUUAUAUUUUGUUACCUUUCUUUCAGUGAAGGCUCACUUUUCUGGAUUGUUUUUUCAUCCAGUUCUUGUCAUUGACACUGGAUUGUUUUUUCAUCAAGUUCUUGUCCUUGACACAUGAACAGGUUUGAUUUUCUGUAUUAAUGAUAUUUUUGCUUCUUUGGAGAAUGUUGAGUAGUGUGUUUAGAUUUUCCUCAAUAUAAGCACAAUCUUUCUUGACGUCAAUGAGUCUUUUUUGCUUUGCAAGAGAUUUAAAAUUUACCACAUCAAUUUGCAUAUCCUUAACUUCUAAAUGUAUGUGUUGAAGAGAUGUUGGUAUUACCAUCAAAUUGUAGUAACAUUGAGGCCCAUUUGUGUGGUUCUUAUAUCGAAAUUUAAAAAGUCAAUUGUCGUAUUUUACAUCAAAGUUAAUUACUUCACUCAAUUUUUGAGGAUCAUGUAAGUUGAGCAUCAAUUUCUUUACUUCAUAUUAUAAUCUAUAGAAAAAUUGGCUAAUAAGUGCAACAUCAUCUCACUUGAUAUCAAUUACAAGUUAUUAAAAUUGUGAAGCAUAUAAUGUUACAGAUCGAUUGUCUUCUUGCAAAAUACGGAUCUUGUAGGUUGCAACAUGAAUUGCAUCAUGUUUUCCAUACAUGGAUUGGAAUUCUAUCAAAAAUGCCUCCAGAUUAUCCAAUAUUGGAUCUCAUCAUUCAAAAAAAGAUGAAAACCAUAAUAGUACUGAACCUGAAAGAAGUAUACUAAUGAAUCUAAUUUGUGAUCCUAGAGUUGGAUAGCUUUGAUGUUGAAAUUCAAUCACAAGUUGUACUUAAUUGAUAUUAUAGAAUUAACUUACUAUUACCUAUUUUUAUUUACUUAUAUCUAUUUAUAUAAAUAAUUAUUGGCUUACAUGCAUAUGUCCGUGACACCUUUUACAUUUGAAGCUACCAAAAAUCUCUCAAUAUUAGGUCCAAAGUCUUAUUAUAUCCAAAAUGUCUGGCUAUUGGAAAGUUAUGAUGAAUUUGAAGUACACAUAAUCAUGCUCUACCUUCUAAAAUAUAUAAUCCUCCCUUAAAAUAGAAUAGAUUCUUCUUGAAUUUAAAUGUAGAAGUAUCAUGAGACUUAGAAGAAUUAUUCUUGAUAUGAUAGAUAAGAGGAUCAGAAGAUAUAUUUGAUUGAAUUUUCUUCACAAAUAUUGAAUGAACAAUUAAUAUUGAUUUUAUUGCUCAAAAGUGAAAAUAUUUUGGCUUCAAGAAAGUCAUUCUUUAUUGAUCAAAAGAUGCAUUUUUUUUAGUACAAGAUAAGUAUGUCUAGAAAGGGCAACUAACGAAUCUUGUUGUUUUUUGGAUCAAUAAAUGAAGUUGAAAUCAAAUCUUCAUAAGAACAUAUUAUAACGAGAUUGUAAAAAUUUAAAAUAUGUAUUGAUAUAAAAUAUUAAAGAUUCUCAUGAUUUAUAUACAUGGUGAUUAGACUCAAAGCGACUUCUAAAUAAUAACUCCAUCCUUAAAAUAAAUCCACAAUUACAAGGAAUUUUUUGUUAUAGAUCUCAUAAUUAAUUUUGGCUACUAAAAAAUUUCUAGAAUAAAAAGCAACUAGAUGGAGUUUGUAAUCUGAUUCUAUUUGUGAUAAUACUAAAUUCUAAACAAAGUUUGAUGCAUCUAUUUUCAUAAAAAAAUGCCUUAGAGAAGUCUAUACAAUAUAAAAUUGGUGUAAAAAUAAAUUCUUUUUUUAAAGGAUCAAAUAAUGCUUUGGCUUCUUUAUUCCACUCAAGUUUGUUUUUACAAGUCAAAUGUAUAACUGGAGCUACAACUUAAAAAAAAAUCUUGAUAAAGAUCCAAUAGUAAUUGAUAAAGCUUAAGAAAUAUUAUAUAUUUUUUUAUUAUUUUUGGAAUCUUUCAAUCCACGAUAGUUUGGACCUUCUUUGGAUCCAUUAUUAGCCCUUCAUUAUAAAUGAUGUAUCCUAGGAAGUCAACUUGAGUAGUGUAGAAUAUUUACUUUUCUAACUUCACAUAUAAUCUUAUAUCUCUAAAUUUUUGUAAUACAUGACAAAGAUAAACUUUAUGUUCUUUUAUAUUCUUAAAGUAUAUUAAGAUGUUGUUUAAAUAAAAAAUGAAAAAAUCAUCAAGAAAUUCACAUAGGACAUCAUUCAUUAGACUUUAAAAAGCAGUUGGUGCAUUUGUGAAUCCAAAAGACAUAACAUUAUAUUCAAAAUAUCCAUACUUGAUUUAAAAUGUAAUUUUUCAUUCAUCUCUUUUUUUAAUGCGUAUCAGAUUAUAUGCUCUUUUUAGAUCUAUAUUUAUAUAGAUCUUUUUUUGAUUGAGUUGAUAAAGAAUUCCUAAACUCAAAGAUAAAAUAUACAUAUUCUUGAUGGUGAUCUUGUUGAGUCAUCAAUAGUCUACACACAUCUGUAAAGAUCCAUCUUUUUUCUUCACAAAUAAGAUAGGAGCCCCUACUAAAGAUUUAAAAUGACAUAUAAAACUCUUACCUAAGUUUUCAUCAAUAUACUCCUUGAGUAUAAUCAACUCGUUUAAUGAUAGGCUGUAGAUUGGUCCAAAUGGUAGUUGAAUUCUUUUGUGAAGAUCGAUGGAUCAAUCAUAAAAAUGAUGCUCUAGAAGAAUAUUUAUAUUCUUGUUUUCAAAAAUAUCCUAAAAAUCUUAAUAUUAACUAAAAAUACUACUUGACGUCUUUUUGCUAUCACAAAUAUGCAUGGCAUAUAAAAAAAAAGAUAACCUUUCUUUUACAGUAUGUAUAAAAGCUCUUACACCUACUAAUAAGGAUUUGAAUAUACUAAACUUAUAUAUUUCUAUUUGAGUAAUGAGAAUUUGAGUGAAACUAUCAAAAAAAUUAAAGGUACAAGAAAUUCAAUCUAUCUAAAGAUUAUACAUUUCUAACUAAGAUAAUCCUAAAAUAAUCAGAUUGGACGAAGAUCUCAUUACCUUAAAUAUUAUUAUAUUAUUAUGAUCUUUAAUUGCUACAUCUAAAUGAACCAUCUCAUGCAUAAUAUCUCUAAAAGAUAGCAAACAACUAUCUAUGACUUCUACAUGUACAGGUUUAAUAUUUUUAACUAUCAAUAUUUCUUAUUUUUUGACAAAAUCUUUGUUUAUAAAAUAGACUAAAGCUCUCAAAUCUAACAAAGUUAAGACUUUGUGAUUUUUUGGUCCUAAAUAAACUUCUAUUGUAAAACAAGGUGACAAAUGUAAAAAGAAAAUAAGACCUUUACUAUGAGUUAUGUAAGAGUCCAACUUCAUGGUUUCUAUUAUAAAUAGAGAAAUAGGUUUUUUCACACCUCAUCUUCUCUAGCAAGCAUGCUUCUCAUUUUGUGAUUGUGUUGUUUCUUUGGACAAUAUUGAGUACUAUAUUUAGCUUAUCCACAAUAUAAGCAUAAGCCUUCUUGACACCAUCAAAUCUUUCCUUGUCCUGUGAGAGAUUUAAAAUUUAUCAUAUCAAUUUAUAUUAGUUCUAGUCUCAAUGAACAAGUUUUUUAAAACUUCUGAGCUAUCAUCAUUAUUUGAUUUUUUCCUCUCCAAUCAAAUCUUUAUUCUUGACCUUUUUAAAAUAAUUGAUUAUUGCAUGCAAUGGCUUGAGAAAUAAAUUGUUUCAAAGAUACUGCCUUUGACAUUGUCAGUAACAAAUCUUUGACAUUAUCCUUCAAUCCAUAUCAAAAUUUAUUGAUAAGGACUUUGUCAUUCCAAUCCACAUUGCAAGCAAGAUUUUAGAAUUCAGUAGCAUAUAUAGUGGCUGAUUGUUGUCGAAGUAGAAAGAGUUUGUCUCAAGAAAGAAUUGGGCUUUUGGCUACUACUAAAUACUCAAUCAAAUCUAAGAUAUUAAAGUUCUAAGUUUAUAUAUAAUAUUUUCUCUUUUAGGACAAUCAAAUCAAUACAUAAGCCUAAGUAUAAAAAAAAAUACCCAAAUAUAUGAUAAAAUAUCUUAAAACCUUAUAUAUCCUUAUGGAGAUUUUUUUUCAAAUUUCAAUAAUUCAUAUCUCAUGAUCAGACUAUCCAAAAAAAUUAAAAUUUUACAUGAAGUAUUGAUAUACUUUCAAAAAAUACCAAAACAAUUUCAAUUACAAAUUCAUUACAUAUCUUGAGAUAUUGCCAAAAUCCUAACACUAGCUUCAAACCCUUAUUUACAUACAUCCGCAUGCAAUUUUCUUCAUAUCUCACAAACUAAGUAUUUAAAUACUAUGAAACUUUGAUCUAUAUCUUCUUAAUCUAAUAAAAAACACUUAUAGAAUUUGAACCAAAAAAUCAUCUAGAAACCCAAGAUAUGGUUCCAACCAUUACUAUCAACAAAACGACUCACUUACUAUCUUUGAAUUAUAUGUGUUGUCUUUACCACCCUAUAACUCCUUCAUCUAGACUUAGAAUUCAUCAAAAAAUAUAUGAAAAGUAUAGCUAAGAAAGUAUUCUCUCUAAUUUCAGUUUUUGAUCCUUUAUUGCUCUUUAUUAGCAUAUGUUAUGCCCCAAAGAGUGACAAUAGAUGCAAAAUUGACACCUUAGCUUUGAGUGCCUAUAACUCCUUCAUACAAACUCCAAAUCACACAAAAUUUUUAUCCAAAUUGUAUCCAAAAACCUAAACUUGCUGAUCCUAGCUUCUGUCACGGACACAAAAUACAGACUUGAAAUCUAACAAGAAGUUCAAGAAGAAGUGGCAGAACUAGAUUAAACAGAUGAGUACAAGAACAACACCAGAAAGGUGAGCUAGAACUCCAAGAGAUGUGUUGUCGAGACUGAAGAACCCUUCAGCCUCGACUCCUAUAUAUACUACUGAAUAGGAAGCUUCUCGAGCUACUUCCGCUAACUAGGACGCUUCUCCAACAACUUCUACUAAUUAGGAAACUUCUCGAGCAACUUCCUAGAAUCUAUCAGAAUAUUCUAGAACCUUCUAAGGGAAUCUUUAGGGAAUAUUCUAAGAAUCUUCUAGAACCUUCUAAAGGAAUCUUUAGAGAAUCUUUAGAGAAUAUUCUAGAAGAAUAUUCGAAGAAUCUUCCAAUGUAUGUCCAUGACAUCACCUCCUCUUCUAACUUCGAGGUCUCCGAGAAGCAAUGUUGUUAUCAGUCAAUACCAACGCAAAAAAAUGAAAAUCUGUCGCAUCACAUCCGCUAUGAAUUCCAAUUGUUGUUCGCGAGGCAAAUGAUUCAUCGGCCCUUGGAGCCAACGGUAGUGACCAACACCUUCAACCUCUGACCAAGCGUAGACUUCUGUGUCUUCAUUGUGAAACUGUCCUCCAAACACACCUUCUGGCUGACCGUCGUAGGCAGGCUCGACCUCAAAUACAAUUACUAGCGAUCUGUUGCUCGAUAUCCUCCGACGUCGUCAUGGUGCAGGCGGUUCUUCAUCUCGCGGUCGUCUUCGUGAGCUAGUCGCUUGAGAUGACAUAACAAGUGUAGUAUCUUGACUAUCCAUGUCUAAAAGCUAAAAUGAUGAGAACAAACUAUAGUUGCUAACAAAGUUCUACACUAUCGAACUAUGGGUUUUGGAGGUGCCCUCCUCCCUUUUUAUGCUACUUGAUGAGUAAGCUUCAGCAAGAAGCUAUCGUUGAAUCGGCUUAGGUUUAUGAGGAUAUCGUUGAUGAAAUUCUUGUACCUUUUUUGGUGCAUUGGCAAGAUUUUCGGCACGCUCCCACGUUCGUUCAUUGAUGUCGUAUCCACUCCAAUGCACUAAAUACUCCAAUUUUCUCCUAUUACGCCGUGAAUCUAGUACCUUUUCCACCUCGUAUUCCUCAUGGUUUUCAAUUUCGAUACUUGGUGGCGGACUUUGUACUCUUUGGGGAAAAGCUGACUCUCGAUAAGGUUCCAACAAAGACACAUGAAAGAUUGGAUGUACCUUCAUAGUAGCUGGUAACUCCAGACGAUAUGCCACCGGAUUGAUCUGCUUCUCGAUAACAAAUGGCCCUAAUCUCCGAUAGUCCAAUUUGUCACAUGGCCGCUUGGUCUUGAUAUUCCGUCAAAGAAGCCAUACUUUACUUCCAACUUUAAAAGUAGGCGCCUCAUUUCGAUAUUUAUCUGCAGAUGCCUUGUAACUCUCUUGGGCAGAUUGCAAUUGAAGCUUCAACGUCGCUUGAAGCUCCGAUAGUUGCUUCACAAAUCCUUCAGCUGUUGGGUUGUUAUUUGCUGAAGAACUCAAUAAAUCGAGCUUGGGGUGGUAUCCGUAGUUGGAGAAGAAUGGUGUUUGUUGAGUUGACGCAUGAAGAGUGUUGUUGUAUGCGAACUCAGCAAGCGGUAGAUAUGCAGUCCAAUCAUCUUGUUGAUAGUUGAUGCUGCAUCGUAAAUAUUGCUCCAAAACUUGAUUCACCCGCUCCGUUUGACCGUCAGUUUGAGGAUGAAAAGCCGAAGAGAGCUUAAUAUCCACCUUCAAUAUCUCAAAGAGGGACCUCCAAAACUUGGAUACAAACUGAGUACCUCGAUCCGACACGAUAUCAUCUAGUAGGCCAUGAUAACGAUAUAUGUUAUCAAGAAAGAGUCUUGCGGUGUCUUCACUUGACGAUGUUUUCUUGCAAGGCACGAAAUGCGCCAUCUUUGUAAAUCGAUCCACCACAACAAAGAUGCUGUCAAAUGAAUUCGAUGGUGGUAGGUCCGUAAUGAAGUCCAUAGAAACUGAAGACCAUGGUCGGUGCGGAAUAGGCAAUGGCUGGAGAAGUCCAUACGGACGAUGUCGAGGGAUCUUGGAUCUUGAACAAACAUCACAAGAAAGGACAAAUUCCUUCACAUCCUUCCACAUUUGGGGCCACCAAAAAUCUCGUGAAAUGAGCUCCAAAGUCUUGUUGAAUCCAAAAUGUCCCGCAGCUGGAAAGUCGUGGCGAGAUUGAAGUACUCGGAGUCGAGUUGGUCCUUUUGGGAUAUACAACCGCUCCUCAAAAUACAGAAGAUCUCCCUCCACCUUAAACUUGUCAUUAUCGACACGUUGUUUGAUGUCAAGAGCUAUAGAAUCCUCAAUGGUCGCAGUACGUACCUCGCUGAGGAAGCCGUCAUCGAUAGUUGCAACAGUAGCAAAAAUCCUGAAUUUUUCUAGUUUCAACAAUGUUGUACAUUGUUGAUCAAACGCUGCUUCUCCAGCCUUUGGCGCAAGAUACGAUCUCCUCGAUAAUGCGUCAGAUAAUCCUUGCUGUUUUCCAAGGCGAUAGGUGAUAAUAAAGUCAAAUCGUGAUAGAGACAUAUUCCAUCGAGCUUGACGACGAUUCAAAAUUCGAGCUGCCAUGAAGUACUCCAAAUUCUUGUGGUCCGUAUAAACAGUCACUGGAUGUGCAGCUCCUUCGAGGAAGUGACGCCACUCUUGGAAGGCAUCCACUAUAGCAAGCAACUCUUUGUCGUGGAUCUCAUAGUUGAUCUCAGCAGCAGAGAACUUUCGUGAAUAGAACGCAACUGGAUGAAGCUUCUUGUCUAUGCCCAUCUGUGAAAGCACAGCUCCCAAAGCAAAAUCUGAAGCAUCGGUCUCUAAAUAGAAAGCCUUUGCAAAGUCAGGGUGUACCAAGAUUGGAGCCGUAGUGAAUGCCGUCUUGAGAUCUUGAAAUGCUUUUGCUGCUUGUGAUCUCCAUUCGAGCUUGUCUUUGCUUGUUAGACGCGUGAGUGGUGCAGCAACUUGAGAAUAAUUCUUGAUGAAGAUCCGAUAGAAGUUAGCAAAUCCAAGAAAACACUGAACAUCUCUAACCGUCUUCGGAACUUUCCAAGAUAUAAUUGCUUCUACCUUUUUUGGAUCCAUCUUCAAGCCCUCUGUAGUCGCAAUGAAGUCCAAAAAUUCCAUCUCAUUCUGGUGAAAUUGACACUUCUCCAACUUGGCGUAGAGUCCUCGUUUGCGUAGUUUUUCAAGAACCAAACAAACGUGCUUCUCAUGUUCUUCUUCAUUCUUGGAAAAUAUCAAAAUAUCAUCCAGAUAGAUGACAACAAAGUCAUCGAGGUACUCCCGAAAGAUGUCGUUCAUCAUAUGCUGAAAGAUCGCUGGAGCAUUGGUAAGACCAAAAGGCAUGACAUUGUACUCAAAAUGGCCAUACCUUGUACGAAAGGCUGUCUUCCAUUCAUCUCCUUCUUUGAUUCGCACAAGGUUGUAGGCUCCUCUUAAAUCAAUCUUUGUAAAAAUCCUUGCACGUCCAAGUUGAUCUAAGAGGCCGGAGAUCAAAGGUAAGGGAUAGCGAUUUUUCUUGGUCACCUUGUUGAGUCCUCGGUAGUCCACGCACAUCCGCAGUGAGCCAUCCUUUUUCUUCACGAAUAGGAUUGGUGCUCCAGCUGGCGACUUUGAAUGUUGAAUAAAAUUCUUGGCUAGAUUCUCAUCGAUGUACUUCCGCAAUUCUGCCAACUCCGUCUGCGAUAGGUUGUAUAUUGGACCAAAAGGUGGUUGCGCUCCUUCCUCUAAGUCUAUGGCGCAAUCAUAUGGUCGAUGUUCCGGCAGUAUAUCGGCGUUUUUCUUCUGAAACACGUCUUCAAAAUCCCUAUAUUGCUCUGGUAUAUUCGAUGUUGAGAUAUUCUCGCCGCUAGUUGGAGCUGCAUAAAUGACAAAUGGUGCGCCUUCCUUGGACGAUCUUAGGAACGCUCUCGCUCCAAUAAACAUGGAUUUCUUCAUGUAGGUUCUACCAACAGGUUUAUUAUUAUUUUUUUCAGGAAAUGUUAUCCUUCGUAGCCUCCAAUCAAUGGACGGAUUAUGAUCUUCUAACCAAGAAAGACCAAGGAUAACAGGGCUUGAUGGGGUUCUAAUAAUAUUAAAAAUAACGUGACUACUAUGGUCUUUAAACACCACUUCUAUAGGUUCUGAUUCGUGGGUAACGUUGCCUGACAAUAAGGGUCGUUCAUCUAUCACCUCUACGUGAACAGGUUUGGACUUCUGUACUAAACGGAUCUUGUGGCAUUUAGCAAACUCUUCAUCUAAAAAACAAGUAGAUGCCCCUGAAUCCAAUAAAGCUAAAGUUUUUUGUUUUUGAGGGCCUAAAAACAAAGGAAUUGUAAAACAACGGGCAGGUUGGACAGAGAAGGAGGAACCUGAUUGUUGUUGUGAUAUUAGAUUGUCCAGCCGCACGGUUCCUACUGUGGCUGGGCGUCGUCGUUUUCCGGAAUCAUCGCACUUCUAGUCUUGACAGGGUGCCAAUUUUGCUUCUUUGGGCAAUUUCCAACCUUGUGACCUUCUUCUCCACAGUACAAACAUAACCCUUCCUCCAUACGCCGUUUCUUCUCUGUUGGAGUAAGAGAUCGGACACGCACCGUGUCGAUUUGCAUGUCUGUUGCCUCCGAAUGUGAGUUUAAGCUAUUUGUAGACAUAGUCACGUCGUAACGAGUCAUUUGGUGUCUUGGACGUUGGUAUUGGCGACGCUGGAAUAGGCGGUUGUCACACUUUACAGCUUGGCUAAUAGCUUCGUUGAGCGUUUGAGGAUCAGGAAGAGAUAACAGCAAGUCCUUCACAUCAUCCUUCAAGCCCCAAUAAAACUGACUCACCAACGCCUCUUCACCCCAAUUAAUGUCACUUGCCAAUUGUCUGAAAUCCGAGGCAUAGACUGAUGGAGAGCGUGUUCCUUGUCGUAGCGAUCGGAUCUUUGUUGUAGCCCAUCGAACUUUAUCAUGCUCGCCAAAUGCUUCUGCAAACGCCUCCAAGAACGUUUCAAAGUUGCUCAAGAUUGGCGAUCGCUUCUCGAACAAGGGAGUAAACCAAGACAGAGCUUGUGCUGUAAGCAAGGUUCCAACAAGCCCAACACGCGCUUCCUCCAUCGGAUAACGUUCGGGCUGUAAAAUUGUUAUCAACCUGAUUUGGUUGACAAAACCUCGAAACUUGGAACGAGUUCCAUCAAACUUAUCCGGAAGACUAACUCGAGGCUCCUUUCGUUGUAGGACUACUCGAUCUUGUUGAAAUGGAGGUAGAACUGCUUCUUCUGGCGCAGAAGUUUGAGGCUGAUAUGCUUUAGAUGGCGCUAUCCCAGAUGCUCCAUUGUUAUGGAGUCCUACCAUGACUCCUUCGAUCUCUAUUGUCCUAUGUGACAACGAGGCAAGAGCAUUUAUGAUGGCGUCUAGUUUGGAUUCCAAACUUUUAGCCAUUUUAACGUCUUAACCUUCGGCUAACCUUCAGAAAGAAGAAAAAAGAAUUUUGACAAGAGGACAAUAUUGGUUCAGAGGAGAGUACUCCGCAACCUCUAAAACGCCUUAAGACUCCAAGAUGAGGGAUAAUCCACUCUCUCCAAGAAGAAUAAGGCUCCAAUAUUGAGAAAGAAGAGAUAUCAGUUUAGAGGAGGGUAAUCCGCAACCUCUAAAACACUAGCACACCUUCAAGAAGAGGGGUAAUCCACUCUCUAACAAGAAGGAACUAGCUCUGAUACCAGUGAAAAUGCAGUCUCGACAAACUGUCACGGACACAAAAUACAGACUUGAAAUCUAACAAGAAGUUCAAGAAGAAGUGGCAGAACUAGAUUAAACAGAUGAGUACAAGAACAACACCAGAAAGGUGAGCUAGAACUCCAAGAGAUGUGUUGUCGAGACUGAAGAACCCUUCAGCCUCAACUCCUAUAUAUACUACUGAAUAGGAAGCUUCUCGAGCUACUUCCGCUAACUAGGACGCUUCUCUAACAACUUCUACUAAUUAGGAAACUUCUCGAGCAACUUCCUAGAAUCUAUCAGAAUAUUCUAGAACCUUCUAAGAGAAUCUUUAGGGAAUAUUCUAAGAAUCUUCUAGAACCUUCUAAAGGAAUCUUUAGAGAAUCUUUAGAGAAUAUUCUAGAAGAAUAUUCGAAGAAUCUUCUAAUGUAUGUCCAUGACAGCUUCCAAAGCUAAAAUAAUUUUGGAUGAGAAACCCUAAUCCCUAAUAAGGCCUCAGAUAGCCUCCUUGAAGCCCAUUGGGUAUGACAUUUGACCAAUAGGGAUGAAGAUCUUCACCCAUUGCCUUCAUCCAACCAUACCUUACUUUCAUCCUUUCCAAUGAGCCUCCUAAUACUUUAGACUUUCAUCUUUAAACUCCAACCUUCUCUUAAGCUUUAUAUUAAAUACCUAAAUCCUACAUAAUAUAAACACUAUAAUCAAAAUGAUUAAACUUCGAAAUAAAUUUUCUUAUAUCAACUUUCUUUAAAUUUACUUACUAACCACUCUAAUCUACAUCAAAACUUACAAACAUAAUAUAUGUUUAAAUUAAUUUUAACAUACUAUAAGCAACUAUAGUACAAUACUAUGAUCCUUGCUAUAAAGAUAAGAACUGGGUCUUUAUUACUUUUUAUUGAUAAUUUUUUCCAAACAUGGCUGUAAACACUUUAAGGAAUGAAUUCAAAUCAUAAAGAAGUCACAAAUUCUUUUUCAUUAAUUGUGCAAAUGAAGAAAGAGUUCUUCUUGAUUGAAGUACACCUAUGAAUCCGACUUGAAUAAAUCCAUUGGAAUAUUGGAAGGGAUGCAACCUUAGAUAGAGCUUGACUUAUUGCAGAAGUCCUCAAAAUUUUGAUCUUGUUCCAUCAAACUUCUUAGGCAUAUUAAUCCUUAUUUCUAUCAUAAUUAUAGAAGCAAAACUUCUUGGAUUUGGUUGUGAGGUUAAUCUACUUGCUUCUUUUAAUUGCACAACUUCUUCCCACAGAUUUUGAACUUCUUCCAUGAGCGUAGGCAUAGUACCUCCAUUAUUACACCAUAGAAAUAUAUGAGAUUUCCACUCUUAGAGUAUUAACAAGCUCAUAAAGAUCUGUAAUAAUUACAAAUCUAUUUUCACUUCCACUAGGAGUAGCAUCUAUAAUCUUUGCUUCCAUAGACUACUCAAAUAAAUUCAAAAAGUUAAAUUAGAAGAAGGUAAUUUACAACCUCUAAUAUCAAAUGAAAUUUUUUACAAAGAGAGAUAAUCUACUCUCUUUUAAGAAAAGAUUAAUAUUAAAAAAUAAGAUUUUUAGUUUAAAGGUGGAUUGUCUGUAAACAUCAAAAUAUAAUAAUAGAAGUGGGAUAAUCCAUUCAAUUCUAAAAUAAGAUUGAAAUAGUAAGUUAGCACUCUUAUCAAACUAUCAAAGACAUUAAUCUAGAAGAAAGAAAAUCCUCAAUAUACUCUUGUGUUAUUAAAAAGAACUAUAAAAUCACUCAAAGAUGAUAUAAUAUUAAACUAAAAUGGCUAUUGCCAAAAAUAAGAAGACUAGAAAGUCUUGAAAUAAGAAUAAAGACUAGAAAGGUGUUGACGAGAGUGAAGAAGGCUUCAUUCUUACCUCCAUAUAUACUUGUAACUAGGAGCUAUGUGGCGAUGUCCUAUAGAACCUCCAAAACAUGUUGACUUUACAAAACACAUAUCUUAACUUAUAAGGUAAGUUUUUUAUAUAUGUGCCACAUAAUUUGCGUGUUAUCCAAGCUAUCAAUAUGUGGUUAACUUGUUGAUCAAGUUUCUAAUCCACCAAUCAACUACAAAUACAUGUAAAGUCAAAGUAGCAUCUAUGAAGCUUCUUAGAAGCUUACUUAGAAGAUAUUAUGAAAUUAAUUUACUUUUAUUUACUUUUCUUUACUUCUACUUAAUCAUAUAGAUAUUUAUUAAAAUACCUAUGUAUAUAUCCAUGAAAUUUAGUCUCCUUUAGUAUCUUAUUUUUUCCCAAAUUUAAUAGAAAAUUUGAGGUUUAUAUAAAUAUAAGUGACUUUGCAAAAAAAACAAAAAAAAAAAAAAAAAAAAAAAAAAAAAAAAAAAAAAAACUUAAUGUGAGAAUAUAAAUCAAUAGCUUUUAAAAAUAAGAAAUUAAAUACAAUCCAAUUAAAGAUGCUAAUAUAUAAAAAAAAUAAAAAAAUAAAGUUAUUUAUUAUUUUUCAUUACUUUAACGUAUAAAAGAACUAUUUAGAAAGUUAGAAGAUAAAAUUCUUUAUAUAUAAUAUCUCUUAAAAAUAAUUCACUUCAAAAGUUGAAGCCUUUUUCAAAGAAUUAUAAUAAUAUGAUGUUAUUUUAUUGAAUAUAGAGUUGAUAUAUCCAAAACCAAAAAAAAUAAUCUUAUAUUAGAUGCUUUGAAUUUAAAAUAAAUAAAUAAAAAUAAAAUAAAAUCUCUAUAUUAUCAUAAAUUUAAAAAUCAUAAUAUAAAUUGAUGAGUUUUUUCUUAAAAAAAGAAUAAAAGAGGCAUAUAAAUAAAAUAAAGAUAUUUAAAAUUUUAUAAAAGCUUUUGCCUAAAUCAAAGCUACAAUAGACUAGAAAAAAUUAAUAAGAGUAACUUUAUAUCCAAUACUUUAUUCUAAGAUUUAUUAAGUUCAAAUUCCAAUUAUUAGUUAUUUCUUGUUAGAAGGCCUUAGGACGUCAUUGCAUAGUUUUUAGAUUGGUAUUGAAACUUGUAGCAAAAAUAACAAUUAUAAUUGCCUAUUCAUUUACUUCUAUUUGGUAAAAUUUUCAAAAUAAUUAAAAUAAAAUUGAAUGAAAAUAAGUUGAAUGUAAUUAAAUUAAAAUUUAGAUGAAUUUCUAUUAGAUGAAAAAUUUAUUAAGGAAUGAAAUAUUAUUCAAUGAUAAAAUAUUAUUCAAUGAUAAAUUAUUAUUGAUAGAUAAAUUUUUAUAUAUAAAUAAAAAUAAUUAAAUAAUUAAAAAUUUUAUAUGGAUAAAUUUUAUUAAGUUUUGUUUUAAUCAAAUAAAAAAAAGAAAUAAUAGAAUUAAUAUAGUUGAAUAUUAAAAUAUAAUGCAAGUAAUUAUUAUUAUAAGUUAAAUUAAGUUCUUGAGUGAAUUAGAAUUAACCACCAAUUAAUAGGAGUUUAUUCUACCUUACAAUAUUUUAACAAUAGAUUUUUGUUGAUGAUUUUAGUUUCCUUAAUUCUUAUAGAAUGAAAGAGAUCUACAUUAUUUUCUAUCUUUCUAAAAAUUUAUCACAUGUUAUAGACAUCCAUAUUUAUUCUAAUAAUUAUCUAGAUAAUAUAAAUAUAUAGAAAUAAGUAAAAAUAGAUAAAUUUGAUAAUAUCUUAUAGAGAAGCUUUUUAAAAGCUUUAUAGAUGCAGUUUCACCUUAAUUUAUAUCUAUAGGUAAUUGGUAAGUUGAAAACUUGGUCAAUAAGUUGGCUACGUGUUUUACAUAUUGAUGACUUGUAGUACAAAUUGGACAUAUGUUGCACAUAAAGAAAACUUAUCUUGCAAAUUAAACAUGUAUUUUGUAAAUUUGUCAUGUAUUAGAGGUCCUAUAGAAUAUUGCUAUAUAGUUUUUAGUUAAAUAGUAUAUAUAGAGGUAAGAGUAAGGUCUUUUUCACUCUUGUCAACUUCUUUUUUGUUUCUAGUCUAGUUUCAAGUAUUUCUAGUUUUUUUGUUUUUUAACAAUAAUCUUUGCAGUUUCUUUUCAAUAUAUUUUUUGAUCUUCUUCUUUUAAAAAAAUAUCUUUUUUUUUAUUUACAUUUAUAUAGUUCUUAUCUUUGAUAUUAUAAAUAUAUGAGUUGAUCUACUUGAAAAGCAAGCCAAGUAGAAGCUUGCCUAUAUUGUGGUAGAAUCACAAGUGUCCUUAUUGCCUCUAAAGAGGAAAGUGUGGGCUCCAUCCAACCUCAAUGUUAGAAGUUAUUAAAUAAAAGAAGAUAAGACGUGAGGGCAAUUCCAAAGAAAGUCAUCUCUUUAUUGGCAAUUUUCAAAGGCUGUACCUCCAAGUUUGGUGUUUUGUUGAAAGAAAUUAUUUUUUGUGUAAAUUUAUAUUUGCAUGCUUAACUUAACUACUACUUCUCCUUUGAAGCAAAUCUUUUGUAUUACAUUGGCAUGAUUGUUGUAAGUCUAUAGAUACCAUGCUAUACACAUGGCCAUCUUGUUGGCCAAAUUUCCAACCUAUCAAUCACUUACAAACACAUAUAAAGUCAAAUUUGUGCCUAUGAAGUUUCAAAGAAGUUUUUUUAUAAGAUAUUAUCAAAUCUUUCUACUUUUAUUUCCUAUCUAAAUCAUAUUAUCUAAAUAAUUAUGUAUGUCUAUAAUAGGAAUGUAAAAAAACUAAUAAAAUAUGUAAGUUGGAGAACAAGUAAGUUGGAAAUAAUUUACAAGUUCAAUUUAUAAAUAUUUCUAUUAAAGAAAUAAUUUUUUUCCUUAGUUGGGUUGCAUUCUUCAUUAGACUUAUGUUGAAUUACAUUCUAUAUAGAGUAUAGUGAAGUUUAUUCAAGGAUUUGCAUCUAAAUUCCAAAUCCUUCAAUUAUAUAUAAUAUAUCUUCUAAAGUCUUUUAACAAAAAUCCUUUGUAACUAUUAUAAUUUAAAAAAUAAUAUUUAUAAUUUCAUAUAGUUUAUUUUUAUUAUAAUUUAUUUUCAAAAUUAUAUCAUUGGUAAAAAAUAUAUAUAAAAAAAUAAAAUAUUAAUUGGCUAAAUUUUAGUUUAUUUUAUUUUUAUAAUAAAUAGUUAAUUUAUACAUAUUUUAUUAAAAAAUUAUAAAAUUUUAUUAUUAUAUUUCAACAUAAUAAUUAAGAAAAAAUAUUUAAUUAAGCUUUUUUUUAAAAUACUAUUUUGGUAUAAGAUAUUAAAUAGGUUUAUUUUAUUUUAAAUUAUUUUUUUCAAAAGAGGGUGGUUGGGAUACAAGGCUCGUCACUACAUGUUGUAGAAAUCUCUCAACUCAAUCAAUUAGCUUGAGGCAUCUUAACCAUCAGAUCUCCAGAUUUAAUCAUGGCUGUUACAUGGAUUCUUGAAAACACUGAAGAGCUCAAGGGAAAUAUGGGGGGGGGGGGGGGGGGGGAAGGGAGUAACUAGUCCUAAAACCAUUGUUUUUUCCAUCCUAAAACAAACACAUAUGUCAAUUAUUUUUUAUUACUAAUGCUUGUUUCUUUGUAUUAGAUUUUAAAAAUAUUCUGCAUUAUUAAUGUGUGGGAUUAAAAAAGAAUAAAAAAAUACUAUAUAGGUAAAAAUAUUCAAGUGCCAUUAUUUUCACUAACACAUGAUAUAUAGAAGUGCAUGCAUGCUUAUAGUUAUUACAAUGAAAUAACUCAAAUAACCUAUUAACAUCCUAAGUUGAAAGAUACAAUGAUAAAAGUACCUUUGAUAGCCAUUGUUCCCACCACCACUGCCAAGUGAAAUCUGCUCAAUCAUAUACAACAUAGCACACAAUGCUCUCUAUUUAUUUGUUUCUUUUUUAUUUGGCCUCCUUGUCCUAAUCUUGUCUCAAGAGAUAAACUCUCUUCUCUAAAGUUGCAUAGAUUUGCAAAAAUACUUUUUGAUUAUAUUAUGAAAUUUUGGGAAAACCACUUGUUGGGAAUUCAACCAUCACUUUUGCUUCAAAGAUUUAUUUAUUUAUUUAUUUAUUUUGUCGUACAUAACAUCACUCAAUGAAGUUAAUCGUUCCCAACCUGCCCGCCCCUCUGGUUCCCCUACGUUCCCACCCUCCGUUCCCAGACAUUGAAUCGGCGGCUAAGAUUGAAUCUGAGCGGAAGCUGCGAUCCGACGGCCCACGAUGGUGGAGCUAAUCGAUUGAGGUCGGAGGUUUCUGCUACACAAUUCCACGAGGCCCGCUCAAGUUGUUGUCGAAGGGUUUCGUUGGUCAUGGGGACCAAGAAAGGCAAAAAGGCCGUGAAGGCUGGGGAUACUGCGAUGGAGGUGGACGCCGCGGAGGUGCAAGUGCAGCCAGAAGUGGUGAUGAAGAAGGAGGAGAGAGUGGAGACGAAGGUGAAAGCCAAGAGCGAGAUUGAUGAUAUUUUUGGGCAGAAGAAGCGGAAGAAGGUGGAGGGUGAUGAUAUCAAAGCGGUGCAAGUGGCGGCGAAGAAGAAAGAGAAGGAUAACUCCGAAGCUGUGAGACUGAAUUCAAAGGGGGAGCUUGUGAAGCCGAAGAAACCGAAGUCGGCGAAGCCAGUAGUUUCUGCAAAGAGUACGCCAGGGGUUCCAGCGUCGCGGAAGAGAACAGAGGAUGGGUUUGUUGUGUACAGUGAGGAAGAAUUAGGGUUUAACAGGAAGAAUGCGGGUGGAUCUGCGCUGUGCCCCUUCGAUUGUGACUGCUGCUUCUAGUGCUCCUAGAAUUUUAGUGAUUAGUUCGUAGCGCAUUGAUGCUGCCUCCCGCUAGCAUCAGUAUUGUUAGUGAGUACUCUGCCUCCAAUAUUCGGACGUUGUGCUGUUCUAGUUGUUGUGUUAGUCUUAACAGAUGCAUUGCGUUUCAUGUGGCAAAUAAGUGGGACUAAACGUACAGAUAACCAUCAACAGAACCAUGUCGUAGUCUGAAUUUCAACAGCCUGUCCUACCACUUUUUGACACUCGAUGAAGGUUAUGUAUAUGCCAUGGUCGAGGAUGUUUGAUUGAGUGCCAGAAGAGUACUUAAUCCAAUCUUAGAUCUUUCACGAUGAUAUGCGUGUGUAUCCUCACGAACAUCGAGUCAUUCUCCUCUCCCCCCUCAUGCGUGUCGGUUAUUUGUUGUGGGGAUUGGUCUUUCUCAAACGCAGACCAAGCUCUCAAACGCACACUCGCUAAUACCGGAUUCGAAACACGAAUUAGAGGAUCACCUGCAGAAAUGCUGACCGAACUAAACAAUGAACAAUGAUUCUCUCACCGCUACAUGGGAAUGAACUGGCCGUUGUCAAGUUCCAAAACUUUCAAACUCUCAGAUUUUGCGUUGCUUAGCAGGGAUUUGAAGGGAGUGGAAUUGACACUGGAGCAGCGAGAUAGAGAGGAUGAGGGUGAGUUUGAGAGUGAGAAGAAGGCCAGGCUGCAGAAGAUGGAGUUAGUUGUCAAAGCCGCGGGGCCACCGCCGCCUCUUCAGAUGACUCCCAAACCGCCUCAUACCCGUUCAUC
rnacentral:lncRNA from 1 species